rnacentral:rRNA from 1 species
UUUUGCGCAAUGGGGGCAACCCUGACGCAGCAACGCCGCGUGAGUGAAGAAGGCCUUUGGGUCGUAAAGCUCUGUCAACUGGGAAGAAAUUAGCUUCUAUUAAUAGUAGUUGCUAUUGACGGUACCAGUGGAGGAAGCGNCCGGCUAGCUCCGUGCCAGCAGCCGCGGUAACACGGGGGGCCAAAGCGUUAUUCGGAAUUAUUGGGCGUAAAGGGCGCGCAGGCGGUCUUGUCCGUCAGGUGUGAAAGCCGGGGCUCAACCCCGGAAGUGCACUUGAAACAGCAAGACUUGAAUACGGGAGAGGAGAGAGGAAUUCCUGGUGUAGAGGUGAAAUUCGUANAUAUCAGGAGGAACACCGUAGGCGAAGGCAUCUCUCUGGACCGAUAUUGACGCUGAGGCGCGAAGGCGUGGGUAGCGAACGGGAUUAGAUACCCCGGUAGUCCACGCAGUAAACGUUGUACACUCGGUGUGGCGGAUAUUAAAAUCUGCUGUGCCUAACGUAACGCAUUAAGUGUACCGCCUGGGAAGUACGGUCGCAAGACUA